AUGCAGUGAUGACUUGAAUUUCUUCACCUGAAACUCACUAUGAUGCUUUUUUUGAGCUUUUUAACCCUGAGCAUU
ensembl:snoRNA SNORD36 Small nucleolar RNA SNORD36